rnacentral:rRNA from 1 species
CGUGUAGGCGGUUUGUUAAGUCGGAUGUGAAAGCCCUGGGCUCAACCUGGGAACUGCAUUCGAUACUGAUCGACUAGAGUACGAGAGAGGGAGGUAGAAUUCCACGUGUAGCGGUGAAAUGCGUAGAUAUGUGGAGGAAUACCGGUGGCGAAGGCGGCCUCCUGGCUCGAUACUGACGCUGAGGUGCGAAAGCGUGGGUAGCAAACAGGAUUAGAUACCCUGGUAGUCC